CUUCGCCUCUAGGAGUUAGAGCUCAUUCCACUAGAGCAGUUGCUUCUUCUCAGGCUGUCCUCAGUGGAUCUUCUAUGACUGAUAUCUGUGCUGCGGCAGGAUGGUCCUCACCGAACACUUUUAUCAAGUUUUACAGUCUGGAUGUAAGGACGGCUCCUGGCUCCCGGGUUCUCUCCGCUUGAGCAGAUGCUUCCUUGGAUCCCAGCUAUCAGGUACGUCAGGCGUUAUGGUAUAGGGUUCCCAUACGGUGAUGUCACCGCAGCAUCGAAGUGACGUAUGAAAGGGAACAUCUCGGUUACGUAUGUAACCACGAUGUUAUAUAAACAUUAUCCCCCGGUUUCACAGA
ensembl:lncRNA